rnacentral:rRNA from 1 species
GGCAACCCUGACGGAGCAACGCCGCGUGGGGGAGGAAGGUCUGUGGAUUGUAAACCCCUUUUCUCUGUGAAGAAGAUCUGACGGUAGCAGAGGAAUCAGCAUCGGCUAACUCCGUGCCAGCAGCCGCGGUAAGACGGAGGAUGCAAGCGUUAUCCGGAAUUAUUGGGCGUAAAGCGUCCGUAGGCGGUUCAUCAAGUCUGCCGUUAAAGACUGCAGCUCAACUGUGGGCCGGCGGUGGAAACUGAUGAACUUGAGUAUGGUAGGGGUAGAGGGAAUUCCUGGUGUAGCGGUGAAAUGCGUAGAGAUCAGGAAGAACACCGGUGGCGAAGGCGCUCUACUAGACCGCAACUGACACUGAGGGACGAAAGCUAGGGGAGCG